GAUCAAGCUACGAAGAGCGCACGGAGGAUGCCUUGGUAUAUGGCGCCGAAGAAGGACGUGACAAGCUGCGAAAAGCUGCGGAGAGUUGCAAAUGAACGUUGACCCGCAGAUGUCCGAAUGAGGGAACUCACCAUAAGUAAUGUUAUGGUAUCGUAUACUGAAU
rnacentral:rRNA from 1 species